ACGUCAGUGAGGUACAUCCUUACCUGUUGCCUUAUUAAUAAGGCUGCAGAACAUGAUGAUUGGGUUCAAUGAAUGUGUGAUUAUAAUCCGCGUUUAUCAAGGUUCAGCAACACCUUGAUGAAUCCUAUCUGAU